rnacentral:misc_RNA from 1 species
UACUUCGCUGAGAGAAGUAACACACAAACACCGUUCACGUCUCUUCGGGUGGGUGCGGCUGCCGAGUGCAAGCGAGCGCGGCUCGGACGUUUAUAUCUUCGCACCUUCGCACGCACGCACGCGUCAUAUACUCUUCACGAUUGCCAGAUCACCACCACACGCACGUCUACACGCCCACACCCGAAUAGAACACCUUCCCGUACUUCCAUUUCUUGGCAUGUAUCUGGCAUUCAUGUCGCGUGUUCUGCUCACACUCCCCGCCUGUCUGAGUUACUCAGUUCCGCCUUUCUUUUCUUUUUUAUUGCCUUGUGCUCCUCCCCCGCGAAGUGCCUCUGGUAGCUGUCCCUCUCCCGCCUUACUACUAUUCUCUAUCUCUAAGGUCUAUUGCCCAUAGCCAUCUUUUUUUUAUUGUUUUCCGCACUGUACGCGUUUCACUUUUUCACACACACGCGCGCGCGCACACAACCCCGUGGACCGUCUUUUCAGAGUGGGAUAGCGAUCGACAGGUAUUGUCGCAAGCCCUUGCAGGAGUGACUGCAUCGCUGUAGGGACAGAGAUCUGCAAGGGGCGCUCGCAACAACAAAAAGAGUCUGAUAUAUUGAAAACUUGACCCUCCCUCUUUCCUCCUUUUCCCCUUCCCCUCCCCCCAUACACCCAAACCCACUCAAAAGCUCGCUGCUUUUUUUUUGCCCAGUAUCUUACCAAUCGGUAUAGUACGCAUAGGAGAGGCGGCGCACGAGCGAAACAGCAACAACAAAAAAAAAUAUCAGGCUUGCCUUUUCUUAUUCGCGCAGACUCUCUGCUACGUGCACUUCACACCUUCUCACACCCUCACACCACGUGUGUGUUUGUGACGUACCUAAGAUUGACUUCUUCUCUCUCGUCAUUUACACAUUCGACUACCUAUCUGUUUUUCCAGCUGCUCGUUUCUUUCUCGUGUAUCUGCCCGCUUCCCUUCCACAUCACGUCGCCACCGUCGCCGCCUCCUCUCAUCACUGCGGCAUUUUCAUUGGCGUGCCGAACCGUCUUUCUCUCUCAUUUUUUUUUUGCACACUCACCUCUCCUUGCCCUCUGCGUGUCUGCGCUCCCGUCUUUGUUUUUCGCUUUCGGUUGUUUUGCCUUCACUGACCACUGUGGCUUGUCUAUCUGUGUGUCUCUUGCCUUUGUGCCCGCACCUCCUCUCUGUGUGCGGAUUCGCUUUUGCGUGUGCGCGUGUCUCGGCGAGGGGACAGUUCUGGUGGGUGAAGGCAUGCGCAUGUGCAUACGAAGCACAUUGGCACGUCCGCACACCGUCACCGCGACGCCUCCUUUCUCCUCACUUCCAAAGAGCAGAGGAUCCACGAAGCCGGCGAGGAGAAUAUAUAUACGCGUAUAUACCUCUAUAUGUAUCUAUACCGGAGCACACACAUACAUAUAUACGAAUAUACCUCUAUAUACACAUAUACCUAUCUACAUAUAUAUAUAUAUAUAUAUAUAUGUAUAGCGCAUAGCUAUUUGACGUGCUGAAAGCAGGAAGAGAAGUGACAUAAAAGAGGGAGAAGGGGGCGAAAAGAAGCGAAAACGGAGGCCACCGAAAAACGCAUCUUCUUUCUUCUUCCUCUGCGGUACUGAGCUGUGCGGUCCUUUCUCUCCCCCUCUCUUUUGCGCGUCUGUCUGUGCCUUGCCUGCUUCGCUUCUGCUCUCUCUUUCUCUCGGUCCCUCUUCUCUGUUUUCAGCUUCUCGUUCUUCUGUUUUUUUUUGACUCUUCACCAGACUUGUCGCCGCCGCGCCUCCUCCCCCUUCCCUGUCCUUCUGCCCAUCCAUCCACGUAUCCAUACAUUAUAUAUAUACAAGUACACACACACCCAUAUAUACAUAUAUAUAUAUGUGCACUGCGGUUUCGUCCGCUUUGUGGCGUCCUACUUCUCAUCGGGCUACUGCUCGAUGCGGUGAUACUCUCGCUUGGCUUGAAUUGCACACGUCCGGCUCAGCUUCUGCGUGCCUGUGAAAUUCGUUUUCUCUUUUCGUGUGUUUAUCCACCCUUCGUUCCACAAGGCGCUUGGUGCCGACCAUUUAUACACACACCAACACACACACAAACGGAAGUCGUUUCUGCCGCCCAUCUCCCUCCCUCUCUGCUACACACGAUACCAUAUUAUUACCUUGUACAUUUUAUGGCUGCCGCCUCUCCCCAUCAGCUUCACUGUUUCUCCUUUCUGGAACGCUUUUUGUAAAGUUAUCUUGGUAUCUACCUAUAUAUGGAUGUAUGGACAUGCAUGUGCAUGGUGUAAGGUUUAUUUUUUCUUGAUCCUCCUUUGGCUUGGUAUCACAGCCGUGCAUUUUGUCUGCAUUCGUGUUUCCGCGUGUUGCGCGUGUGUUCUCUUCCUUCACUGCACACAGCAACUCUCGAUCUUUUUUUUUUGCCGCCUCUCCGUGGCUCUCUCGCUGUUCGUCCUUGCAUUCACCCGACGGACGUCUUCGCCCCUUUCCGCGCACUUCUUGCACUGCCGGUGUAGAUUCCCUUUGUAUUUCCUUUGGCGAUGCUUAUUGGCUCCCCCUCCCCUGCUCUCUUUCCACCACUCUCUCACUCCUCCCUACGAAGGCCCCAUCUUUCUCGUUUUACUUUUUGCCCUUCUCCACAUUUCCCACUCGUUUUUUUUUGGGUUUUCGGUUCUUCCGGCUGAUCGGCUCUUCUCGUCCUCUUUCCUGUUUCUUCAAGAAUUGAACUGACUCUUGCCUGCGGGCCAAGUCGUGUUGCCUCUGCUGCCUUGUGAGCUCCACGCACACAUACGGACACAGACAGACCAGAGGGACAGACAGACGGGCAGACACAGACACGCUCACGCGAGUCCCUCUCUCUUUUCUCCUCUACGCGUCUUUGGGGGUGUGCGGGUGGGGACGCACGCUAUAUAUAUAUAUAUAUCACCUUUAGCCCCUAGCACGUUUUCGCUACUUCCCCCCACUUCUUUCUCUCUCCCCUCCUUUUGUGCUGUCGCGUCUCUGCCAAGGGUAAGGUUAUGCAUUUUGUGAGCAUUAUUAUUGACAAGAGUAUUCUUACUAUUUUGCUCGUUCUUGUGUGUGUGUAUACGCAUUCAACAAUUCAGAUGCUCGGCGUGGCGCCAUUGGUAGGACCGUCUGCCGGCACCGCCGACGUGCAACAACUUGCUGACAUACGCGCCACGGGUGAUUCUUGUCGAGAUGCUGUUGUGUCGGAGCGCACACGCGGUGAGCAGGCCUUCCCACGAGGGCAUACUCACGUUGGCGCUCGCGGUGAGUGCCAGGCGGCAUUGAAGUUCUCUGCCAUGACCUGCAGCAGAGACAACGACACUGCAAUCAAGAGGGCUCUAGCACACAAUACCACGGCAGAGCCGUUGACUAACGCUAGGACAGCAUCGUGGACGGCUCACAGCGCUGCACAGAGAGAGUCGGCUGAUGUGGAGGCACGUAUGAAGGCCAUAACGGCGGCCAUGACAUCUUCGCCACUGCCGUUGCUGACUCACGUGUUGACUAGCGUACCCUCUGCGAUCGCUUGCGUAUCUUCGGCUACUCCUGUCACCUCCGCAGCGUGCGCCAGCGUGGGCACCGACACCGCCGCCUCGCGUGUCCCUCGCACUUCACCCUCUUCACCUCCAGUGGCCAGCAGCGAUGACGCCACGCCGUGGUCCAUGACGCUUCACACCGACGCCGCGCGUGGGUCAGCGGCAGAAGCAUACUGGGUUCCCUACGACGUCUAUCUCGCUCUCUCGGCCCCGCUGCUGCGAGAGCGCGCCUUGCAAGACUUCGUUGCGACGCUGUGUUGUCCAAUGACACCGUCGGCGGAGGGCCAGCCGCAACUAGUCAAGAUUGACAGCGUCUUCUUUUUUCUUCUCCAUGGCAACGCAGUGGCGCCGCUGAUCGCCUCUGCUCCCGCGGUGGUGGCGCCGGUCUCGACGUUCCAGUCGCCCAUGCAAUCUUCGUCGUCGCUUCAUUGGAGCGAGCACGGCUCCCGCAACAGCAAAGCCGAACUCAUCGCCUUCCCUCUUUUCUGCGUCCUCGGCGCGAAGCUGUGCACCGUGUCGCGACGCACACGAUCCAUCUGCUCCAUCCACACUCCGGAGGCUCCCAUUGCAGCACGGCUCGCCACGCACCCGAAUCAGCGCGGCGGCUAUGGCAGCCACAGCCGCCACGGUAGUGACAGAGCUGACUUGACGUACCCUGCCGUCCAGCAAGAUCUCGCGGCCAAGCCCUGCAGCGGCACCGAGGCGUCGCUACCUCGGCACGACGGCGGCAGAGACCAUGUGCUUCUCCUCUUCGCCGAGCAGCUGAUCAGCGGCCUUCCUGGCUUUCCUGUCGCGCUUCUGUACACGACAAGCCCGACCGGUGCUGUCGUCUCGGCGCCACCGGCGGAGGCUUCAGCCUUCUGGGACAGCUGGCACAAGACCCCGCGUGCUGUGCGCCGAAGCGUUGCGUACGAGCAUAUAUGGAGCGUCGUGACACUGCCGAGGCUGGUGGCAAUGCUGCAGCGUUGGGGCGUGGCCCCGGCGGUGGCGAUGCGCCGGCUCUGCGUAGGGCUGCACUGCUCUUCUACCUCGCCGCUAGAGCCGCCAGGAAAGCCUCACCCGCUCCACGCCACGAUGAAUAUUGCACAUGGGCAAGGAGAGGAGGCGACGGCGGCGGCGGCGGCAGUGCCGGACACUGCGGGCGCUUUGCGUCGACCCCAGCUUCCUUUGGCAGAGCCCGACUCUUGCCUCGUGGAGAGUCCGCCUCCCAUACCGACGGCCGCGCCCGCGCAGCCGGCGAGGGCGAGCGUCGUGGGGCCGCCACAGCACAUCGUGGACAGCAGUAGUAGUGAUGGUGCUGCGUGGGAGUCCUUGUCGUCGGACGCCGGCGUUGUGCCGCACAGAGGCAUGAGCACGCCUGCGAUGCGAGGGGCCGAAGUAGCUGUGCGGGCGCCGGCGACGCCGCUGGAGCGCAGAGGGCGUGUGACAGCUGGCGAGUUUGGCACCUGUGGCGUCACCACACCUCGUUCGCAAGACGAGCUGCUCAGCAGCGGUGAAAAGGGCGACGCAGGUGACCCAGUGCACCCGUACAACGCUUUAGGCGCGCCAGGCUCCGUCAACACGGGACCAGAAGACAACCGCGGCCUUUACGGCCAGGCGCACCUGUAUUACACUUCUUCGUCGCCGCCACCACCGGCUGCCUCGUCAGUCAAGACGACUGCUGGUAGCGUCCUCUUUGUGCGGAGCGCCGUGUCGGGGAGGCCGCUGACGGAGAGCAGCACUCCCCUCUUCAACACCAGGCGCUUCCGAUAUCCGGAUGUGCUGCAUCCACCGUUGCGGUUGCGCCUGCAAACUUCUUCGUUCCUGGAGCGCGCCAACGGCCCCGUCCGUGUGACGAGGGGUGCGGCGAUGCUGCCCACGCCUCGCUGCUCAGGUGCACCGAAGCGCGUGACCGCUGUGCCAACCGACGCGCGCUACAGCGACAGUGGCGCGUUAGCGCAUCCCUACGAGGUGCCGGCGUCAGAUACAACGCGGCAGUCGGGGAACCGGCAUCGGCGAAGGCACAGUGGCACAGGUAGCCGCCUCAUCCAUCAAGACGAUCAUCGUCGAGGCACGAAUGUGCGCGACGCGCCAGCGGAGCUUGUUCAUGCCUCCGGUGAUGUCGAGCAGUUGGGAGACGCGCGGCAGGUCUCUGCCCGUCGAAGCUCAGUGGAUGGCUUGACCGAUCGCGGCAGAGUUUCCAGCCACGCAGCUGCGCCAGCGCUGACUCCGACGCCACCCACUCGCAAUGGGAGUGGCUGUUGCCUUGGUGCCCGGCAGCGCACGGAGCAUGUGAACAGGUACAUGCAGGUCCUCAUGAGCGCUGCGGCGCUCCGGCGCGCGAGCCCGUCGCCGACAGCGACUGAUGAUUUCCCGCAACAACAGCAGAACACAGCUCAUCGAUACAGCACCGGCGACCAUCUCGCCGCGGCAGCAGGGGCGACUCCGUUGUGCGUCGCCAGCAGCAGUAGCGGUACUGGCAGCAACACAAAGGGCAGCCUGAAUCGUAGUCGCGAGAGCGGAGACCGCGGCGAGGCCAUGCCGCGGCGUGCGCCAGUGCCGCCACCGCCGCUCCAGCAGCAUCAGCUGCACCUCCACCGAUCCCCUCACGCGAACAUCCUGCUUUGCCAUCAGAGCAGCAUGAGCACCCAGUCGAGCUUCACCUCAAGCUCCUUGACUGGUGGCGCUGUCUCCGUUGCACUCAGCGACCACGCGGCGAGCGUCACCGCAGAGCACGAAAACAAGCAACUGGGCGACGAUGGCAAUACCGAUAGAAGAGCCGGGGCUGUCGCGGCGCCGUCGACGUUCGCCGGGGAUUCUAAGAUUCCCUCUAUGACGACCUCGUCCGAAGGCUCGCUGGCUUCUGUGGCCGACGCCGCUGGCACGCUACCCACCGCGCAAGUCUCGCUGCACCCGGAAGCAGCGUCGUUGUGGAGCGUAAAGAAUGCAAGGACGCACAAUGCUGCCCGAAACGGCAUAGAGGACUCGCUGUCGAAGCGCCUCACGCGCUCCCCGCUACGAAGCAUCUUCACUGGGCUGCGGGCGUUGCUGCAGCUGGCCACUCCACCAUCGUCGAUGCAGGCGCGCGGCUUUCCUCAUCGCGACGCGAAGCCUGCGGGGCCACAGCUGUCGCCUUGUUCACCAGAGGACAGGGCUGUUCGGCCGUGUGUCCACGCGCCGCCAGAGCUGAGUAGCCCCCUGCUGACGUACUCUUCUCACCCCACGCUGUAUGCCGCGGCAGACGUUGCGGCAUCUCCACCCCCGUCCGAUGUUCUUUCGCCGCCGGGGCAGCACUCACUGACACUGCGCGCAUCAUGCGAGCGGUCCGCGUCCUGUUUGGUCACCGCUUCAUCGGAAGAGAACCUGUCGCCGCCGCUGAGGCACAACCGCGGCAGCGUCGUUAACCAUUUCGCCGUCGCAGGCGCGUCUGCGAGGCCAUGGGCGCUGCCGACGAGCGGCUUCUCUGCUAUUAACGGUUGCACCGCCAAAGUGCGGCCCCUCAGCGCGAACGAGAGCGACCACGGUGCGGAGUGUCGACUCGUCUCCGAGCCCGCGAUCUCGGUCGAUCUGCAGCUUCACGCGGCGGCCCGUGAACACGCAGCCAACGCACAGGCUGUCACCGCGCCGGGGGCUGUCAGGCACGAUGGCGCCACUGCAGUGGCCGCAUCCACUGCUGCUCCACCGGUGUCUCCGGGCUGCCAGCCCUGUGCGGCUUCUUUGCACUUGAGUCGUCGCUUGGCUGAUGCUCUUGUUGACUCCACCUUGCACGAAGGCGGCGGGUGGCCGUCUUUUCUGCCACUGUCCCUCUUGGGGCCCACUCUGGCCGUCGCGACGCAGUUUCCGGGUGACACAGGUGGCUUCAGGGCAGCCGUUCCAACACUCGCCAACUCCGAGUCUGGGCUCCUCUCGUGGUGGAUUGAAACCGCCGCGCUGUUGAUGAACCUGUUGGCGUGCGUAGUGCAGGCGGUCGGGCGCGGCUACGUAGCCCGCCGUGACCUUCGGAGGCUUUUUCGGCGGCCGUCAAGUAGCCCCACCGAGCGUGCGGCCGUAUCAAUGACGAUUGCCGCCGCAGCGCCGGCCGUGACGCGCUCGCCUCACCACACGCUAGUCACACGCGACCUAUCGUUGUCCUCGUCUCCCACUGCUUCGGCGAGUGCGUCGCCUGUCCCUCCCAUUGUUCACCAUCACGGGGUGGCCACGCUGGCGGCCACCGCAGCCUUCAGCGCCGACCAUUUUCCGGGGUCACAUAGGCCCAGUGCGUCGACGCAGAUGGCGUCGUCGAGCCGGGUUUUGGCGAUGCAGCCGCCGCAGGGCUGCCCACCGCCGCCGCAGACUGCGUUCUCGACUUCACUGACGUUCUCUAUCAACGCCACCGUAGCGGAGGCGUCCACGACUCCCAGCGAUGUCCACGUGUCGGCACGCGAUGUCUCGCUGGUUGCGACGACGACGCCCAAGUCUUCAUUGCAACGGCACAACGCCGCUUCGCAGACGUCGCCAAAGUCCAACAAGAUCCCUACUUUCUCGUCUUUCGCCACUGACGCCACGCACUCCUCUCCCAAAAACCUCUCCAGCUUCUCUGGAGUGAGACUGAAGCAGCCCACCCGCUCCUUGGACACGGCCUCGCAGAAAAAAGUGCCGGCGCCGCCUCUGCGGCACCUGUUUGCCAUGUGCGGCCUGCAGAGCAGUUCCACCAGCGAGGACUCCGGCACCUGGGCACCUGCGCCGAGCGUCGAGGCGGCCGCGUCGCCGGCCGCCUCGUCUGAUGAAGACGACGCUGCUGCUGCUGCGGCGAACGCGAGUGCAUGCCCGUCUAUUGAUGCAGCGACACUCUUGCUGGCCAUAUCCAAGUACACCAUCUCCACUACGCCUGAUGUUGUGCCACAGGGGCGGAGUAGCGACGCGAGCCGCGGCCACGAGCUACCGAGUCCGAGCACUCAUGGUGACAACAACGCAGGUGGCGAACCGAGCGGCGGCGCAGCUGCACCGGCAUGUCUUGUUGCCGGUGAGCCCCUGGGCUUGCUUGCCCAGCCGUCGUUGCUGCGUCUCGCCACGUCGCUGAAGCUGCAAAGCAGCACCGAGGACGCUGACACCACCGCCUUCCGCGAAUCCACGGCGGAGUGGAUGGGCAUGAUGCAGCGGCAACUUGCAGUCACCCCCAGCUGCACCGUUCCUUUCCUCGAUCAGGCUGUUGCGAAAGGGCCGCCGGCGAGCACCCUAGGGAGUAGUAACUCGCAGGGGCCAAUUUCGCCUGAUGGGGUGCGGAGCUCGUCGUGCCGUCUGUCCUCGUCGGCUGAUGAGUACGCUGCCCCCAUGGUCGCGGAGUCUCUGUUGCAGCUGCAGCGCAUUGGUCGCGGGUGUCUCAUCAGGCGGCGGUGCGAACUGAGUUACCGGGAGCGACAAGAAAAGGCCCUUGACCUUCUUCACAAGCGGGCGUGUCAACACACGCCGGUGCUGUCGACAUGUGCGACGUCGAUGGAAGAGGAUGGCAUAGCCGACGGGUUUGGAGGUGGCAGCACUGCUGGAGGGGCUGCGGCUGCGCUGAGCGGCAUCACGGGCCUGCGCUCGGCCUCCUCCUCGUACCAGACGAGCGAUCGGACACGUUUGACGGGUUCGCUGCCGCAGAGCACGCCGUCACUGCCUGGGGCCAGUCGGCCGCUCGUGACGCUGAUGGCAGGGCAACGGCGCCUUAGCCCAGUCAACGGCCGACAUUUCACAGACCUUGCGCACCCCGCCUCCCUGCUUUCGCAGGCAGAACCAAACCUCUCUGGGUCUGAGGGCGUUGUGGGCAUCGUUGGCGACAGUGCCCAGCUGGCAGACGAUCGCAGCACCGCUGUCACGUUUCGCGGCAAGACGAACACGAUGGCUGUGCCCUCCGACAGCGGAAAGUACAUUGCUUCGCCAGCCUUUGUGUCUUCCAAGCGGAGGCCCAGCGUGUUGUUCACCGAUGCGCCGCCGCACAUGCCCAGCUCGGGGUCACUGAGUGAGCCGAGAGGGGCAGCUGCUGGUGGCACUGAGGACGGGACUGCGGCAGCAAGUGGGAGUGUCCAGGAAGCGGGAGCGACUCAGGCGCAUCGUGGAAGCCUUCCCUCAUCUGCUCCCCCUCCUGCCGCCGUCAAGGCGGCUGACACUGACAGAGGCGAUGACGACGCUGCUGUGGAGUCUCCUCUUGUACCGUCGCCGACGGUUGUGCUUCCCAGCUCGUCUGCAGCCGUGCCAGUGGAAACCAACGACUCUGCGAGGAAAGCACAGCCUCCCACCGGCAGAGCACCUUCGCCGCCACGACCGUCGUUGCUGUCGCCACCGUCGCUGCGUGUGCCCUUCUCACGAGAUUCCUACUUGUCCUCAGCGAAUCCUGUUACAAUGAAGACGCCCGUUUCUGCUGCUGCGGCUGUUGUUCCAGUGACAAGCGCGGUCGGUACGUCGAUCUCUGCUACCAUGAGCGACAGCAGCUCCAGGCAAGCAUCGCGCAGCGAGGGGGCCUACUCGAUGCGGUCGCCAUAUCGCAGUCCGUCGUCACCGUUCACUGUACAGGGCUCACCGCAUACCGACAUGGUCGGUGCUGCGGUGGACAGCAACGAUGCCAGCUGUUGCCCUCUUCCGCGACGACGCUUUCUCAUCGCUGUGCCUAGGGCAGAGCUCUCUCCGAUGGAGGGCUCCAUCGUCGCCACAAGCGGCCGCAGUGCUCGUUCCCUCAACAGCAUAAACUCCCUCCCUUUCAAUUGCAGCACCACUGCGAACACCACGAGCGUCACCGCACAGAUCUUCAGCACUUCUCUGCCGGAGGGCAUGACCCCAGAGCUGUGGGUGCUGGACGGCGUCGAGGAGGCCGCCAUGUCCUCUUCAGUCUCGGAUGGCAGCGAUGACGACGACGCCGAUGACAACGAGGGCGACGCUUUCAAGGCAGAUCUCAUCCAUGUCGAGGGCGGCGCUGAGCCGGCGUGCUUCGUCGCUGCGGCACAGGUUCUAGGGCGCGAAGCGGCUCCGCCGUUAAUGUCGAAAGCGCUGCUGCUACUCCAGCGGAUCGGACGUGGCUACCUGUGCCGCCGGCACCAGCACUUCCUGUUCAUGGUGUCUAUCUCGUGGACGGAGAUUGCGCUGAUGCGGCGGGUGGCGCUCGGCUUUCUGGCGCGACGGCGCACGGGCUUAGACUUCUUCGUGCACCGUGAGGCAAACCGUCAAAUGGCGUACUGGGAGCUGCGCCAUCGAUCUGCCGUGCUGAUGCAGAGCGUCGUGCGCGGCUUCAAUGCACGCCAGCGGGUGAAGAGGCUGCAGAGGCGGGUGUGCACGCGCAUUGAGCUACGCACCGCCCUCGAGCAGCAAAACACAGAUGAGUGAGUGCCUUCAAACGAAAUGACAGCGAAAGGCGAAAGAGGGCGCGCUCCGGAGAAGCCCACGCUCCGUAUCGAGGAGGGCGUGAGCGAACACUGUGGCGAGCGCCAUCUCAACGCCCAUGACCAAGGGGCGCCUUGGUCCCCCCUCCCCCCAAGAGGGUGGCGCUGAUCGAGCGCGCAAGGAUGCGGGCCGACUUUGUGCGCUUCGCUAAUCUUUUUUUUUUGCUAUGUGUGUGUCUGUGCCAUCGUAUGCCCCUGACGAUGCCGGCCACCUCAGUGCGUGGCAUCAGGGGCCCGUGCCCCCACACCCUUUGCGGGGAAUCCGAAAGCCCGCAGCCUGGCCUCGGGCACGGCGGCGGACUCUCGAUGUCGGCGGGCAGGCGCGCACUGGCGGUGUGCCGGAGAGACUUGCGGUCGCGACGACGUUUGUCUCGGAUUGCUGUGAAUCGCGUCGACGAUUCAGCAAAAAAUAUGCGUCCACCUACCGCCUCUCUGCGUUAGCUUCGUUGCGGUGAUGCCGAGCGUCAUCCUGGUCCUGGCCUGCGCUGUAUGCAGUGACGUUGCAGUGGGCUGAGCGACACUCAGCGAUGUUGGUUGGCCUGGUUCCUGGACGUGACCGUGAUGCACCAGAGGCAGGCGAGCUGUGAUUGUGUAUGCGCCUACACUUGUUGACUUGUUUGUGGUAGAAUGACACGUUAACAGCGCCGCCUCAUUCCCCCUCCCCUACCCCCAAAACGAAUUUGCCGUCAGACUCUCGAGGGACGAAGCUCAUAAGCGCCCCCCGCCCCCCUGUGUGCUGCAGGUAGUGAAUGUGCCCGCUAACGUAGGCCGCCCGUGAUCUCUCGGCUCUGUUGUCGUUGCGUAGUGCGCAAGCAGUCACCAGCGCGUUUGUAUGAGCGUGCUGGAUGAGAUGCACACUAUCAAAACGUGGCGGAGCCAGUGGGAUGGCACAUGACCAUCGACGCACACGCGUGUGCCUCUUGUAGAUGUCUCGCGGUGCGCUGCUGCUGCUUUUCAUUUGUAGAGAAACAAG